rnacentral:lncRNA from 1 species
AAACGGCUCAAGAUGGGACUUAUAUUGUCUCCCAUAAUCCCAUUGGCAUUUUCCCUAGAGAUCAGGUACCUACUAACGUAUUCAUGUUCAUUAUUGCAGAAAACUUCUAUGGAUGCUCGAUUCAUAUUUACUUAUCCUUAAUCCAAACCUAACUUUGUUUGCCAUUUUCGUAUAACAAACGAAAACUUUAAUGAUCUAGCUUUAACAAUUGAGAAGAAGAACAAUGAUCUUAUCCUAUCCAAGUUUGAAAAUGUAUCUUCGGAUCAGGUACUAGCUUCAAUUGUAAUCACCAAGACAUUUAUCCUCACGUACAAUGUUAAACUUGGUAAAAUUCUAUCCAAAUCUUAUCUCGUUUCUUUAGUUAAAUUUAUUUAAAUCUUUAAGAUAUUGUGCUUAUGAAUGAUCUCAUUGCGUAAAAGUUUAAAUUUUCUUUUUGAUUGGAUAACAACUCAAAUGCCCAAUUUGGCUAGGCGGUGAUCAAGUCCUGGUUAAGGCGGUGGUGGUGGUUGAGAGAGGGAAGCCAGGGAUGCGGACCAAGAAUUGAUGGGGUAUGUGUUGCAGGGGAUUUUAGCGCCAGUGGGAAGCUUUCGUCAUCGGCAUUGAAGUGGCAAUCCGGGCUAUGUAGGCGGUCUGGUGUACUAGAUGGUGGAGCGCCUGAUGGGCCGGGGGGAGGGGGGGGCGGCGGCGGCGGCGGUGGCGUUGGUUGUUUGAUGUGGGAUGGCUGGGCCUCCAUGCCUUCUUUUCAUUGUUGUAUGAACGAUGGGUUGUGUGCUACCCCUCUAUGGCAGCACAGACGGUUUUGUCAGUGAGGCAGUAGUAGAAGUCAGCGGCGAGGCAGCAGCAGGGUUGAGUCUUCACAACCAGGUUGCAACAAUUGAUGCGUGCUAGAGGACUUGGGUUAUUGUUGGGUCAUUUUAGGUUUAGUGUUUAUUUUUGUUUGGUUUUUAGUUUUUGUUUUCUUGGUUUUGUGUUGUUUGUUUUCAACCCCUCUCCGUUGGGCGAGAGUUUUAGGGUGUCGGUAGUUUGGUGUCGUUAGUGGUUUUGUUAGAGCCAUGUUUGGCUUCAUGUCCAGGGGCUAUCAAUUUUAUCAUCAGUCUUUUCUUGUUGUCAAUGUAAUAGAGAGGUUGCCCUCAUAUAUUUGUUGACGGUUUUGGUGUAUAUUGCUUGGUGGGGUUGUUUCUUCUUGAGGUUGGUUGUAAGGUGGUAUCGAGGCUUCUGGAUGUGGUUAGGGAUAUGUUACAUUUGGACCUUUCGGUUCAUAACCAUUGUAAUCGCUGGUGUUGGUAGGGAGGAGUGUGAGGACCUGUUGUCUACCACCGAGUUCUCCCAUGGUUGUAAUGUUGGUUGUUAUUGUAUAUAAAGUUUUAUUUUUUUACUAAAAAAAAAAAAAGAAAAAAAAAACUACAAAUGCGCGCUUAAUUAGUCUAUUGUGUGUCAAACUCACCACCUCUUACUUACGAAGGAAAAACUAAACUAAAUGGUUCUGGACACAAAAAAAAGUUUUCCAACUCUCUUGUUCUCUCAUCUUUUUGCCUAAGGUGUGGGGUUCGAAUUUUGCCGUCUGUUAUAGACCCUUGGAGACGAAUCUGCCUUGUCGGCGGUUUCUCUGUGUGUUUGAGUCUGUGCGAUGGCGAGGACAUCAUGGGCAAGGUGGGGAUCUCUAAUUUGGGGGCUGAAAGUUGCUUCUCAGUGGUCAGCCUGGUGGCUAGGGUUUGGCCUUUUUGGUGGUCUUGAACAGGCGGUAGUUUGGUCGGGGAUCGGGCUGGGCGAGGCAGCAGCAGGCUGCGAAGGCAGGAUGGGGUUGGCGGUUGUGCUGAGUACCCAUAGCCUUUGGGCCUAGAUUUGGGCUUGGGCUGAUUUGGCUAGGGCUUGGUUGGUGUGUUGGGUUUUAGGCCUAUGUACUUGGGUUUGGGUUGCAAUUCUACUUAACCUAGGCCCUAAGGAAACUUUGGUUGGGUUUGUUCCUCUACCCGGGGAGACCCCUUCUGCGUAGGGUGGUUCCGGCUGCAUUUGAAUAAGUUAGAAUAUUACUCUAACAUGUCUUGGUUACCGGUUACUUGAUGAGCUUAAUCUUAGGGUAAAUAGCAUAGAGCAUAAAGCAUAGAGGUUGCUUAGGUUUUCUUAGGUGGUCUCGUAUGGUUCACUUCUUUCGUAACCCUCGCGGGUGGAUCGUGUUUAUGUUGUUCUCUUACAUUUCAUUAUUAAUAUAAGACUUGACGUCUCUGGAUCGUGUUUAUGUUGUUCUCUUACAUUUCAUUAUUAAUAUAAGGCUUGACGUCUCUUUCUUAAAAAAUAAAUAAAUAAAUAAAACUAUGCUCAAAAUUAAAUUCAACAUGACUAAUACAAUUUGGUCUAGUGACAUUAAUCUCCCAUUUGUAAGUGGGAGGUCGUGAAUUCGACUCACGAUGAACUCGUUAUAGCAUUUCAGUUGUUUGUUUGAUAAAAACAAAAAAUUGAAUUCAAAGUGUCCAGAUUGACAAAUUGAGAUAAUCAUUGCUAGUUAUUGCAAAUGGCAAUCACUAUACUCCUGAAAGGGACCAGAUAAUACCAGGCUAGUGGUCCAUCAAAUUAAGACUCUGGAGACUAAUCCUACACAUGUGAACAGCUCACACAUAAAGUUGAGAUGUCAUAUGCUGCUAGCUAUAGUUUCCUUCUUAAUAAUUGACCUUAAAACUUGUUAAGCAAAAGAAACCCUUUCUUAGCACCUACGGAUCUCUUCAAGUGGGCAUUUACAAGUGAGUUGCUUCCAUUGCAAUGCCUUGUAAGAGUACAACGCCCUCCAUCCAAAUCAAAAUAUCCUCCCUAAGAUAACA